GGGAUUUUGCGCAUGGACGAAGUCUGNGCAGCAACGCCGCGUGGGGGAUGAAGCUUCUCGGAGUGUAAACCCCUUUCGACCCGGACGAAUGCCCGCAAGGGUUUGACGGUACGGGUAUAAGAAGCCCCGGCUAACUACGUGCCAGCAGCCGCGGUAAAACGUAGGGGGCCAGCGUUGCUCGGAAUUACUGGGCGUAAAGGGUCCGUAGGCGGUGCGGCAAGUCGGAAGUGAAAUCUCUGGGCUUAACUCAGAGGCUGCNUUCCGAAACUGCCGUGCUAGAGUGCGAGAGAGGCGAGUGGAAUUGCGGGUGUAGCGGUGAAAUGCCGUAGAUAUCCGCAGGAACAUCCGAGGCGAAAGCGGCUCGCUGGAUCGCAACUGACGCUGAGGGACGAAAGCUAGGGGAGCAAACAGGAUUAGAUACCCUGGUAGUCCUAGCCCUAAACCAUCAGGACUUGGGGUUUGCCCUGUACGGGGCAAGUCCCGUAGCUAACGCGUUAAGUCCUGCGCCUGGGGAGUACGGUCGCAAGGCUGAAACUCAAAGAAAUUGACGGA
rnacentral:rRNA from 1 species